GGGUGGUUGCCAGGGUGUUGCUAUGCGGUUUCUAGGGUGUUCUGGGUGGUUGCUAGGGUAUUUUGGAUGGUUGCUAACAUGUAGCUAGGAUGUAGCUAGGGUGAAUCCAUCAAAAUGAAAAAAAUAUAUAACU